rnacentral:rRNA from 1 species
CCUACGGGAGGCAGCAGUAGGGAAUUUUUCACAAUGGGCGAAAGCCUGAUGGAGCAAUGCCGCGUGAAUGAUGAAGGUCUUAUAGAUUGUAAAAUUCUUUUAUUUGGGAAGAAAAACUAAAGUAGGAAAUGACUUUAGUCUGACUGUACCAUUUGAAUAAGUAUCGGCUAACUAUGUGCCAGCAGCCGCGGUAAUACAUAGGAUGCAAGCGUUAUCCGGAUUUAUUGGGUUUAAAGGGUGCGCAGGCGGAUUUUUAAGUCAGCGGUCAAAUCGUGGGGCUCAACCCCAUCCAGCCGUUGAAACUGGGGAUCUAGAGUGUGCGAGAGGUAUGCGGAAUGCGUGGUGUAGCGGUGAAAUGCAUAGAUAUCACGCAGAACCCCGAUUGCGAAGGCAGCAUACCGGUGCACAACUGACGCUCAGGCACGAAAGCGUGGGUAUCGAACAGGAUUAGAUACCCUUGUAGUC